CUGAAGAGAGGGGGUGUGUGUCACUUUGUCUGACAACUGACUACCCUUAGGACGUUACUUUUUGCCUUUCAUUGUAUACAUUUUUGGUACACAAUGACUGCAAAGAAGAAACAGUUUGCCAAGAACAUUAGCCACAAGAGGAAAAGGCACAUAGAAGCAAUGAUAAGGUCUAUACAAGCAAAGUGAGCAGCAGCUGCUGUGGUUGGUGACGCCGCCACGAUGCUAGUACCACCUCCCUCCUCUCAACACCUGUCCUUGUUCACUGCUACUGAACUAUUGGAUAUUUCAUGUUCAGAAACAAGUUAGACAAAAUAUAGGAGCCCCGCAAAUAUGCCCACCUCCACCACGGCUGCUACUACCACAACUACUACCUCCACUGCUGCCUGGAGGACAUUAGAUAAUCAUGUGUCCACCUACAUCCAGUCAUAGAUUGAUUGGGAUGGAUUUUUAUGAUUGGCCGGCCACCAGAGAACUUCAGGAUAAAGGGAUCUUCAUGGAACUUCAGGAAUAAUGUCUAUAUAACCAGUUCUACUCUCAAUAAACGUAUAAAGGCA